rnacentral:rRNA from 1 species
AGGCCUAACACAUGCAAGUCGAGCGGCAGCACAAGUGAGUUACUUAUGAGUGUGGCGAGCGGCGGACGGGUGAGUAAUGCCUAGGGAUCUGCCCAGUCGAGGGGGAUAACAGUUGGAAACGACUGCUAAUACCGCAUACGCCCUACGGGGGAAAGGAGGGGACCUUCGGGCCUUCCGCGAUUGGAUGAACCUAGGUGGGAUUAGCUAGUUGGUGAGGUAAUGGCUCACCAAGGCGACGAUCCCUAGCUGUUCUGAGAGGAUGAUCAGCCACACUGGGACUGAGACACGGCCCAGACUCCUACGGGAGGCAGCAGUGGGGAAUAUUGCACAAUGGGGGAAACCCUGAUGCAGCCAUGCCGCGUGUGUGAAGAAGGCCUUCGGGUUGUAAAGCACUUUCAGUAGGGAGGAAAGGGUGAGUCUUAAUACGGCUCAUCUGUGACGUUACCUACAGAAGAAGGACCGGCUAACUCCGUGCCAGCAGCCGCAGGUAAUACGGAGCGGUCCGAGCGUUAACUCGGAAUAUACUGGGCGUAAAGGCGUGCGCAGGCGGGUNGNAAAAGCGAGAAUGGUGAAAGCCUUGAGGCUCAACCUAGGAAUAGC